GUUGAUCCUGCGGGAGGUUGCUGCUAUGAGGGUUCGACUAAGCCAUGCAAGUCUGAUAGCAAUAUCGGCAGAAUGCUCAGUAACACGUCGAUAAUCUGCCUUUAGGUCUGGGAUAACUUCGGGAAACUGAAGGUAAGACCAGAUAGAGGAUUAUUUCUGGAAUGAAUUUUCCUUUAAAAGCAAUGCCUAAAGAUGAGUCGGCGGCAGAUUAGGUUGUUGGCGGUGUAAUGGACCACCAAGCCUUAGAUCUGUAGGGGCCUUGAGAGAGGUAGCCUCGAGAAGGGCACUGAGAUACUGGCCCUAGCCCCACGGGGUGCAGCAGGCCGAAACCUUUACAAUGCACGAAAGUGUGAUAAGGGAACCCUUAGUGCUCAUGCAAUGCAUGGGCUUUUGCCAAAGGUAAAUACUUUGGCGAAUAAGUGGUGGGCAAGACUGGUGCCAGCAGCCGCGGUAACACCAGCGCCACAAGUGGUAAUCAGCUUUAUUUGGCCUAAAGCGUCCGUAGCUGGUUUAGUAAAUCUUCUGUGAAAUUGUUGGGCUCAACUCAACAGCGCGCAGGAGACACUGCUAAACUUGGGACCGGGAAGGGUUAGGAGUAUUCUUGGGGUAGCGGUAAAAUGUUAUAAUCCCUUGAAGACUGCCAGUGGCGAAGGCGCCUAACUAGAACGGGUUCGACAGUGAGGGACGAAAGCCAGGGGAGCGAUCCGGAUUAGAUACCCGAGUAGUCCUGGCUGUAAACGCUGCGAGCAAGGUGUCGCGUAUUCUUCGUGAAUACGCGGUGUCGAAGAGAAGUCGUUAAGCUCGCCGCCUGGGAAGUAUGGUCGCAAGACUGAAACUUAAAGGAAUUGGCGGGGGAGCACUACAAGGGGUGCGGCGUGCGGUUUAAUCUAACUCUACGCAGAGAAUCUCACCAACAGCGACGGCAGGAUGAAGGUCAGUCUAAAGGGCUUACCCAACGAGCCGAGAGGUAGUGCAUGGCCGUCGUCAGCUCGUGCCGUAAGGUGUCCUGUUAAGUCAGGCAACGAGCGAGACCUGUAUCCAUAAUUGCUAACUGAUUAUGUGACAGAGCACAUUAUGGGGACUGCCCUGGAAACAGGGAGGAAGGUGCAGGCUACGAUAGGUCUGUAUGCUCCGAAUCUGUUGGGCUACACGCGCGCAACAAUGGUAGGGACAAUGGGAUGCGACUCCGAAAGGAGAAGCUAAACCUCUAAACCCUAUCUUAGUUCAGAUUCAGGGCUGGAACUCGCCCUCAUGACGCUGGAAUCCCUAGUAAUCGGAUCUCAUCACAGUCCGGUGAAUAUGUCCCUGCUCCUUGCACACACCGCCCGUCAAACCACUCGAGCAGGGUUUAGAUGAGAGUCAGUUCUUUGAUUGCCUCGAAUCUAAGCUCAGUGAGAUGGGUUAAGUCGUCACAAGGUA
rnacentral:rRNA from 1 species